UAAUACAACAGCAGCUCGGCGCACGCUCAGACUUCAGUGUCUUUUGCUCCUGUUUCAGCCCGCUGGUUCUCUGCCUUUACUGGGCACAGAUCGGCUGAGGUGCUUGUUCAAUGCAAAGUCCCAGGCUCCAUCCUAGACAUCUAAAGCAGGAGCUUUAUAAUAGGGCCCCAGAAUCUUCGUUUUAACAAAUUUUUCCGGGUAAACUGGAGUAUGUAAUAUGCAGCCCACACGUUAAGAAACAAUGCUCAACUACCCCAAUCAUACUAGAAGAUAAUUCAGUGCCUGUCUCACUAUAGGAACCACAUGCAAUUCUCUGAGUCUUGACUAAGAAGACAUAUAUAGGAGAUAAUAAUAUGGUUCAAGUUCAAGGAGUGAAGCAAAGACAAAUAUGAAAGAAAGAACGAGUAAUGAAGUUGAUAACCUAGAAAGCAAGGACCAGGAGAGCAUGGUGUUAGUGUCUCAGAUCUAAAGAUGAACUUAUUUUAAAUGAUGGGCAGAAGAAUCAAUGUGGGCUGACGUCAAAACACAAGGAUUUCAAUAGACAACAAAACAUGCUGGCAGGGAGAGUCUCAGACACCGUACUAAACAGUGUUAUCAGGAGAGAAGUUGAGGAGUCUCCUCUUUUGUCAUUCUCCGAGAACGAAGACAUUCUCAAAAUGUCUGGUACAGAAAAGAAGAAUCCUGUUUUGUAAACAAGUGGUCUGAGAUUUCAUGCUGGGAUUAUAGGAGUAUAACCCUUAAUAUUCUUAGAUCUAUAAUCAUAUUUAAUUUUUUUUUCUCUGUUUACAUAUCCUCCUUUAUUUAUUCCUUCCAUAGUCUUGAUCCCUCUGUCUGUGUUCCUAACUACUUUAUCACAUUACUGCUUAAAGAAUUAGGGAAGGACUAGGACUUGGUCUCUGGCCUCCUGCUUGAGCCAGUGCUACUAAAGACCACUUGUCACGGGGUCUUCGCUAAAGGUCUGCCUCAUGGUGAAAAGCCAACACAAAUCCGUCUUGUGCCAAACUUCUUUCUUCAGAAAAUGACUAAUGUUACCUGUCUGCUUGGGUUUCUGAAUAUUGCUCAUCUCGAACUCCCCAUUACAGUGUGGUGAUGCUUGGGGCUUCGCUGUGGAAUCCUUACUGUUGCAUAUUUUCCUGCUCUGCAACCAAUGAUUUCUGUAACUCUCUUGGAAACCAAGUUCAUAGAUUCCACGCUCUCUUCAACCACUUCACACUGAAAAUACUUUGUAAACAACACCUGAAGCUCUUUUUAUUCCUCCUAAAAAUUACUCUGCACUGGUGGGAGGCUAAAGUCCCAGGAUGUUGACUUCCUCUCUUCCAGGUUGUGAUGUCAUCAACAUCUGUCUGUACUUUAAUAACAUUUGUGAUAUGACCUAUAACUACUGCCUUUCUUACACUAAAG